GGUAACUGCACUGACAUGCACAUAUUCAGACACAGCCAAAUGAAAGAUCCCUGAAGAGAGACCCUUUCUAAAGUCUCGGGAAAUCGUGGACCCCAGACACAGAGAGACCA
rnacentral:pre_miRNA from 14 species